rnacentral:rRNA from 1 species
AGUGAACGCUGGCGGCGUGCUUAACACAUGCAAGUCGAACGAGAACGGGCUAUAGCUUGCUAUAGUUGUCAGCUAAGUGGCGCACGGGUGAGUAAUGUAUAGGUAAUAUGCCUCUUACUAAGGGAUAUCAAAUGGAAACGUUUGCUAAUACCUUAUACUCCUUAUUAACAGAAGUUAAUAAGGGAAAGAUUUAUUGGUAAGAGAUUAGCCUGUAUUGUAUCAGUUAGUUGGUGGGGUAAUGGCUUACCAAGACUAUGACACAUAACUGGUUUGAGAGGAUGAUAAGUCACACUGGAACUGAGACACGGUCCAGACUCCUACGGGAGGCAGCAGUGGGGAAUAUUGCACAAUGGACGAAAGUCUGAUGCAGCAACGCCGCGUGGAGGAUGACACAUUUCGGUGCGUAAACUCCUUUUAUAUGAGAAGAUAAUGACGGUAUUAUAUGAAUAAGCACCGGCUAACUCCGUGCCAGCCGCCACCGUAA